AGUUUUAUAUUCAUUAAAUGAUAUUAGAUUGCAAUUCUAAAGGAAUAACUUUUGUUAUUAAAACUU
rnacentral:tRNA from 1 species